rnacentral:rRNA from 1 species
GAUGAACGCUGUCUACAGGCUUAACACAUGCAAGUCGAGGGGAAACGACGGGGAAGCUUGCUUCCCCGGGCGUCGACCGGCGCACGGGUGAGUAACGCGUAUCCAACCUGCCUCUGACUGAGGGAUAACCCGUCGAAAGUCGGCCUAAUACCUCAUGGCAUCGUCUGCGGGCACCCAACGACGAUUAAAGAUUUCAUCGGUCAGGGAUGGGGAUGCGUCUGAUUAGCUUGUUGGCGGGGUAACGGCCCACCAAGGCUACGAUCAGUAGGGGUUCUGAGAGGAAGGUCCCCCACAUUGGAACUGAGACACGGUCCAAACUCCUACGGGAGGCAGCAGUGAGGAAUAUUGGUCAAUGGGCGGGAGCCUGAACCAGCCAAGUAGCGUGCAGGAUGACGGCCCUAUGGGUUGUAAACUGCUUUUAUGCGGGGAUAAAGUGAGGGACGUGUCCUUCAUUGCAGGUACCGAAUGAAUAAGGACCGGCUAAUUCCGUG